UAAAAUCCUCAACUGGUGGCAGAAAAAUUUUACAUUCGAUAGAAGAUCUGCUUCCGUUAGUAGCUUCUUCAAAGCAGCUCACUCAAAACUGAAACCCUCUCAAUUCCCAAACCGGCCCGGCCAGACCUAGCGUUAGCCUUUGCACUUGGGCUGGGCACUUUGUUGGGCCCUGCUACAAAUCCGGGCAAGCCCAGAACUGAAUGAAAUUGGCACAGCCCAGCAACCCAAUCCGUCUUGGGUUUUUAGGGCUCUUGUCAAUUGUUCUACAUAAAAGAAACUAACCCGCCACCGUUAUUAAUUCUUCCUCUUGGGUGUUGUUGUCGAGUCCUGCCUCUUCUCUUAUCUGAAAAUGGGCAAUUUCAGGUUUCACCAAUAUCAGGUGGUCGGGAGAGCGCUCCCUUCCGAGACCGAUCGGCAUCCGAAGAUCUACAGGAUGAAGCUCUGGGCCACGAACGAGGUUCGCGCCAAGUCGAAGUUCUGGUACUUCUUGAGGAAGCUCAAGAAAGUCAAGAAGAGUAAUGGGCAAGUGCUGGCAAUCAACGAGGUAUUUG